GAUGAACGCUGGCGGCGUGCCUAAUACAUGCAAGUCGAGCGAACGGACGAGAAGCUUGCUUUUCUGAUGUUAGCGGCGGACGGGUGAGUAACACGUGGAUAACCUACCUAUAAGACUGGGAUAACUUCGGGAAACCGGAGCUAAUACCGGAUAAUAUUUUGAACCGCAUGGUUCAAAAGUUAAAGACGGUCUUGCUGUCACUUAUAGAUGGAUCCGCGCUGCAUUAGCUAGUUGGUAAGGUAACGGCUUACCAAGGCAACGAUGCAUAGCCGACCUGAGAGAGUGAUCGGCGACACUGGAAAUGAGACAGGGUCCAGACUACUACGGGAGGCAGCAGUAGGGAAUCUGCAGCAAUGGGAGAAAGCCUAACGGAGCAACGCCGCGGGAGUGAUGAAGGUAUUCGGAUCGUAAAACUCUGUUAUUAGGGAAGAACAUAUGUGUAAGUAACUGUGCACAUCUUGACGGUACCUAAUCAGAAAGCCACGGCUAACUACGUG
rnacentral:rRNA from 1 species